AAAUCAAAGUUUUUGACGUGAUUUUUUUUACAUAUAAUAAAAAGUAUGGGUCGUCUGACUUUUUUUUCACGAUACAUGUUCUGGAAAUUUGUCAAAUUUUGUAUGGAUCAUUCAUGGGAAAAGAAAAAAUGGGUCACCGAACUUGUUUUCUUGCAACAUUUUAAAAUAGGUAGAUUCAUAAAACUGUCUUUUAUUAGAUAUUUUUUAUCUGGGCUAUCUCCCC
rnacentral:lncRNA from 1 species